rnacentral:rRNA from 1 species
AUUGAACGCUGGCGGCAGGCCUAACACAUGCAAGUCGAGCGGAUGAAGGGAGCUUGCUCCUGGAUUCAGCGGCGGACGGGUGAGUAAUGCCUAGGAAUCUGCCUGGUAGUGGGGGAUAACGUCCGGAAACGGGCGCUAAUACCGCAUACGUCCUGAGGGAGAAAGUGGGGGAUCUUCGGACCUCACGCUAUCAGAUGAGCCUAGGUCGGAUUAGCUAGUUGGUGGGGUAAAGGCCUACCAAGGCGACGAUCCGUAACUGGUCUGAGAGGAUGAUCAGUCACACUGGAACUGAGACACGGUCCAGACUCCUACGGGAGGCAGCAGUGGGGAAUAUUGGACAAUGGGCGAAAGCCUGAUCCAGCCAUGCCGCGUGUGUGAAGGAGGUCUUCGGAUUGUAGAGCACUUUAAGUUGGGAGGAAGGGCAGUAAGUUAAUACCUUGCUGUUUUGACGUUACCAACAGAAUAAGCACCGGCUAACUUCGUG